rnacentral:rRNA from 1 species
UGAGGAUCAUUAUUGGAGUUAAAGAAGGGGCUGUUGCUGGUCCUUAAGUCCAAGGGCAAGUGCACGUCUCUUGCUAUUGACUUUUUCUACCUGUGCAUGAUUUGUAGACACUUGUGAUUUUCAAGGCCUUGAYYAGCCCUCUGUUGUUAUAUCAAAGUGUCUAUGUGUACAUAUACACAAUUGAAUGUUUAUAGAAUGUAKAUUUUUCCAAGGUGAAAAUUUUUGAACCUUUGGAGGAUUAAUAAUAUAACUUUCAACAAUGGAUCUCUUGGCUCUCGCAUCGAUGAAGAACGCAGCGAAAUGCGAUAAGUAAUGUGAAUUGCAGAAUUCAGUGAAUCAUCGAAUCUUUGAACGCAUCUUGCGCUCCUUGGUAUUCCGAGGAGCAUGCCUGUUUGAGUGUCGUUAAAUUCUCAAAAYCUUUGCCUAUGGUAGUUUUGGAUUAUGGGAGUUUGCAGGUCUUGUCCUAGGCCGGCUCUCCUGAAAAGCAUUUAUAGCGAGGAGGCGGUGCUCUAUCGGUGUGAUAAGUGAAUUCGUCGCCAGGAAGNGAACCAGNCCUCUUACGCUUUUGCUGUCAUUAAGAAAUGUGUUUUGACAGAAAUGACAGAUUUUGACCUCAAAUCAGGUAGGACUACCCGCUGAACUUAAGCAUAUCAAUA